GAGAUUAUGUGUUCUUCCAUCAUCUUCUCGGUUCUUGAGCUCCUCCUUGGCAGGCUGCAGCACACCAUUAUUCAACCAAAAGAUAUACAAUCCACAACAGGCAACUGGCAAAGGAAGUAGUAGGCUUACAUUUUAUGAUCAAAUGCUAUUUAUCUGAGUGUGGAAGUUCAAAAACCAAUAAUCCUUUUUAGAUGAAUGCUCAACUCAAUGCCCUGCAUUAGAAGAGUAGACAUCAGUUUAUUGAAACCCUUUCUGAAGGUUUAUCCGUUGAAUGUGUUUGUCAUAUGAUUCUACCAUUUGAUGUACUAAUUCCCGUCUCCUUCCGUUUUAUCCUCAUUGAGAUGGGGCGAGGGGCUUUGAGACAACCUCCAUCCGUUAUUCAGGGAUCGAUAUUUCAUUGUCCUUGCUUAUCUACCAUAUAAGUCUGAAUCAAGAAAAUGCAGUUAUAAUG